rnacentral:lncRNA from 10 species
AUCAGGUGAGAUGUCAUAGUUUGGUUCAGGUAGUUUUCGCGUGGCAGUGAGUUAGUCCCCUGCAUCAGCCAGAAAUCAGACAAAAAGCAAGACAAGUUAGAAGUACCAAUGGGUGCGGGAUUCUUUAUCUCAGGACUUUUAAGAUCUUUAUCCUUAGAGAUCCCAGCAUUGUUCAUUUGAUCCAAGUGUAACACCUAUGCAUGGGAUAAAAAAUAGUGUCACAUCUUUAAUUUUUCUGAUUAGUUAUUUGGGUCUUGAAAUGUCCAGUUUAGCGGAAAGUCUUGUACUGUCUUCUGGGCACUAUGUCCUACAUACUCCUUGAAUUUUUCAAGAACCGAAGGGGUUUACUAAAUCCAAGGAAGACAGUCCCUUUUAUCAAGUCAGAAGGAGGAGGAAAAAAGACAUUGCAAUCAUUCUGUUGUUUCCGUUGAUUCUGUUGCUGCUUUGUGGCCACUCAAACUGGUCCUGCUGCCUUAAGAUGAAUCAGUAGAUUCAGAUCCCUCAAGUCUUCAUGGCGAUUCAUACAGUGACUUUGAUGUUUUUUAAUUCCCAUACCUAUGCUUAUAUGCUCAGCCAUUGUUCCCAGAGCACCAGCCCCCUGCUCUGGCCGCUGGGCAUCUUGACUUUAUCCGCACACAAAGUGACCAAAUUGACCCUUCCCCACAUAUUCAGAACCUAAUGUGGAACCCACAUCUUAGCCAGGAAUUAGCUGAGACCUUCAUGGUAAGAGAUCCUUUGAGGCUGUUGUUGGUCUUUUCUCUAGCAGAUAUUAGGUGGGCUUGUUCUAAAGGGUGAGAGGGGUUCAAAUAAUGUGGCAGAAAGAGAUCAGUGUUUGUUUCUUCUUCUUUGCUACCAGAUCUGUACUGUGAGGCACCUUUAUAUCCUGUAUAGAACCUUGGGCAGUAGAAAGUCCCAUAUGAACCUUCCCCUGAGCAGUGGCUCCCAGCUGUGGUUGGCCCCUUGAGUGAUCUGAUUUACAUGAUAAUGAAAAUCGUGGAAGCUACUUCCAUCUCUAGCUCAAGAUUUUAAAAUAUUUUCAAACUCUAGCUCAC